rnacentral:rRNA from 1 species
UACGGGGGGGGUAAGCGUUGUUCGGAAUUACUGGGCGUAAAGGGCGCGUGGGCGGCCUGCUAAGUCGAACGUGAAAUCCCUCAGCUUAACUGGGGAACUGCGUCUGAUACUGGAUGGCUUGGAUCCGGAAGAGGGAUGCGGAAUUCCAGGUGUAGCGGUGAAAUGCGUAGAUAUCGGGAGGAACACCUGUGGCGAAGGCGGCCCCCUGGUUGGAUACUGACGCUGAUACGCGAAAGCGUGGGGAGCAAACAGG